rnacentral:lncRNA from 1 species
UCAUGCUCGUAGGCUUCUCAACAUGUGGACAUGCUCGGCUAGCUGUACGAGUGCAUGCAUAGGCUUCUCAACAUGCGCACAAACGCAUAGGCAGCAAGCCCCAUGGCGUGCUAGCACGCGUGACAGGCCCCUGCUCCCGCGCACGGCUAUUGCGCACAUGCAGCAAUUGGGGACUGUGUCCUUCACGCACAGUCGCAGCACAGCCGCAAGCUGCGACCCAAUUUGGCACUUUGGUGCCCUAAACCGAACUCAAUCAAUUUUUUUUUUUCUUUCCCUCUCUUAUUUCCUCGCAUUCCCUCCCAUUUUUAAACAUGAAUUAUCACAAUAAUCAUUUAAAUACUUCAAAACCAACCUCAAACAUCCGAUGGAAUCACGUUGUCAAACACCAAACAUAUACACACGAAGCAACUCAACAAGCAUUGCAUUCACUUGAAAUUUUAACACUUAAAAAUUAGAGAAAACUGAUAGGAGCACAAGAAAAAUACUAAAUCCCUUAUCAAAUACUAUUGGGUCUUGGUUUAAAAAGAGAAAUGGGAGAGGUCAUGUGUUGAGAGAAUAUGGCAGCUGCAAUGAUCAUCCAAGGAGUGCAGAAGUGGUUCAUGCGAUACAAAAUAGAAGAGUUCAUAGGUGACGUGCAUUAGCACCACAGGAAGAAAAAGACGGAGGAAUGAAGGGCAUACCGCGCGAGGAAGGAAAAAAAACACGGUGAAAAGCUUCCAUGAUAGAGGAGGAAGAAGACCCUAGAGCUCUUGGGUUCACUCUCAAAUUCUCUCUUAAGCUUUCUCUCCUAUUAGGAAAGUGAAGAAUAAGAAGAAUUUAAGAAGAAAAUGGAAGAGAUAGAGUCUAAAUUAGCUUUAAAUAGCCAAGGAAGAACGUAUGGGAUCCGUUGGAUCACAUACAACGGCUGUUGGCUGUUGAUUGGCCCUUGGCCAUUAAAUGACCCUAGUGGUUGACCGGCCAUCGCAUCAUGGCGUGCAUGCAUGACAUAUGGUGACCGAGGCAGGUUGGGUUAUAGGCGGACCAGCUUUGGUCCAUGAUGGGACGUGCAGCACUGAUCCUCCACGUGUAGUUCUGCGGGCACGUGGCUUGUGGGCAUGCAGGCUCGCGUGUCCUCUCGCAUAUCAACAGUUUUUUUUCCCUCGCGAGGCUUGCCUAUGGGUCCUUUCCCUCUUUCUCUUUUUUGUUUUGUUUUA